AGUUAGGUCUGCAGAAGUCUGUCCGCGAGCUGUCAGCGCGGGCGGGAACGCCGCGGGGCGCGGGGUGGGCGCGGCCGACCUGGUCCCUGAGCCGGCCGGCGACCCCGGACCUCCCGCGCGCCCCGCACCCGACCGGCUCAGCCGGCCGGCAGCGUAACACGCCCUACGCUCGCUUGCUCGCCGGCCUCAGGGCAGGCAGGCGGGCGCGGGAGACCCCGCCGGGGCCGAGACUUGGGGCGGGCGACGAGGACCCGGUUACGGCCUCCUCGCCAUGUCCUCGGCCUGCGACGCGGGCGACCACUACCCCCUGCACCUCCUAGUCUGGAAAAACGACUACCGGCAGCUCGAGAAGGAGCUGCAGGGCCAGAAUGUGGAGGCUGUGGACCCACGAGGUCGAACAUUAUUGCAUCUUGCUGUUUCCUUGGGACAUUUGGAAUCUGCUCGAGUCUUACUCCGACAUAAAGCAGAUGUGACAAAAGAAAAUCGCCAGGGAUGGACAGUUUUACAUGAGGCUGUGAGCACUGGCGAUCCUGAGAUGGUGUACACAGUUCUCCAACAUCGAGACUACCACAACACAUCCAUGGCCCUUGAGGGAGUUCCUGAGCUGCUCCAAAAAAUUCUCGAGGCUCCGGAUUUCUAUGUGCAGAUGAAAUGGGAAUUCACCAGCUGGGUGCCCUUGGUUUCUAGAAUAUGCCCGAAUGAUGUCUGUCGCAUCUGGAAAAGUGGUGCCAAACUGCGCGUCGAUAUCACAUUGCUGGGAUUUGAAAACAUGAGCUGGAUAAGAGGGAGGCGUAGUUUUAUAUUUAAGGGAGAAGACAACUGGGCGGAGUUAAUGGAAGUCAACCAUGAUGACAAAGUGGUCACCACCGAACGCUUCGACCUUUCCCAAGAAAUGGAGCGCCUCACUCUGGACUUGAUGAAGCCAAAAAGCAGGGAAGUUGAGCGGCGGCUCACAAGCCCUGUCAUUAACACCAGCCUCGAUACUAAAAAUAUUGCUUUUGAAAGAACUAAAUCCGGAUUCUGGGGCUGGAGGACAGAUAAAGCAGAAGUUGUUAAUGGUUACGAAGCAAAGGUUUACACAGUAAACAAUGUGAAUGUGAUCACCAAAAUACGCACAGAACAUCUGACCGAGGAGGAAAAAAAGAGGUAUAAAGCGGACAGGAACCCGCUGGAAUCUUUGCUGGGAACUGUGGAACACCAAUUUGGUGCACAAGGGCAGGACCUCACCACGGAAUGUGCUACUGCAAACAACCCCACAGCCAUCACGCCUGAUGAGUACUUCAAUGAAGAGUUUGAUCUGAAAGACAGGGACAUUGGAAGGCCGAAAGAGCUGACGAUUAGAACACAGAAGUUUAAAGCAAUGUUGUGGAUGUGUGAAGAGUUUCCCCUCUCUCUGGUGGAGCAGGUCAUUCCCAUCAUUGACCUAAUGGCUCGAACGAGUGCUCAUUUUGCAAGACUGAGAGAUUUCAUCAAAUUGGAAUUCCCACCUGGAUUUCCUGUCAAAAUAGAAAUUCCCUUGUUUCAUGUCUUAAAUGCACGGAUUACAUUUGGAAAUGUUAAUGGCUGUAGCACUGCCGAAGAAUCUGUAUCUCAAAAUGUGGAAGGGACCCAGGCUGAUUCAGCUUCCCACAUCACAAACUUUGAGGUUGAUCAAUCUGUGUUUGAAAUUCCCGAAUCUUACUAUGUUCAAGACAAUGGCAGAAAUGUGCAUUUGCAAGAUGAAGAUUACGAGAUAAUGCAGUUUGCCAUCCAGCAAAGUCUGCUGGAGUCCAGCAGGAGCCAGGAACUUUCAGGACCAGCUUCGAAUGGAGGGAUCAGCCAGACAAACACCUAUGACGCCCAGUAUGAGAGGUGAUUGACUGACGUGACUCUGGAAUAAACCAGGGUGAACACAGGCCUGGACACAGGGCCAUCCAGGAGAGCCUCCUCACCAGCACAGAAGGCCUGUGCCCCAGCGCCCUGAGCGAGACAAGCCGUUUUGAUAAUGACUUGCAGCUAGCCAUGGAGCUCUCUGCCAAAGAGCUGGAGGAAUGGGAGCUCCGGCUCCAGGAGGAAGAGGCUGAGCUCCAGCAAGUCUUACAGCUGUCACUCACUGACAAAUAGACCUUUCAGCCUGUGAGCCUCUGCACAAAGCAGAGGCUGUGGGCUGUCACAGAUGCUGUGUCAACCAGGGCCCUAGGGCUGAGGGCCUGCACCUUGCGUGCGUGCAGCAGGCAACAACUGCCCCUUCUUUAUGCAGAGGUGCAGAACCAGGGACUCCUGGGCCCAUCCAGGCUGCUCCCUGGGGUGGAGAAGGGACCAGGGAUUGCAGGCCCCAUCUCCAGGCUAAGGGGAGGAGAGCAUCAUCACUUUCCAUUAGCUGUAUUGGCUUGCAGGUCACAUUUUUACUACCAGCUUUAGACAAAACCCCAAUCCCCGCAGGUUUGUAGAUAAAUUUUUAUCAAGGAGUGAUAACAAGACAAGUUAUUGCAGAGUCAGGGUGCUUUUAUAUAUGAGAGCAGCAGCCGCCUUUGUAAAGUGUGAUCUAUGAGAAUUGGAGACACUUCUUUACUGUUCACCAAAGAAAUGGGUAAUCUGUGCUGAUCUCCUUAUUUUUACCUUUUUACAGGGUUUCUAGGACAUUGUCAUUAUUCUUCCUCCAUCUCUAUCUGAUUCCAUUCCUUCCACACCCAGCUAAAGUUAGAGGAGAUACAUAUAGAAUCUAUUUUAGAUUAUUGUUAACUAUUUGCAUCAAAUUAAGAUACACAAAUGGCCAUGGAUGUUGCCUUAGCCUUAAACAUUACUAAUAGUUUCACAUCACCUCACUGCACGCAUCGAAGGAUCUGAUUUGAAUUUGUAAAGGCAAUUCUUUUGAGAGCAGGAUUCUCCAGGCUAAAUCAAAGGCAGCUAAUCCUGUCCCUGAAGGAGCAGCUAGGGGAACCUGAGGCUUGUUCUUGAAGUGGGCAAGCUGGCCAAAAUAUUGGAACACACAGAACCAAACCAGGUGUGUUCUACACCUGCAUGAGUGAAGGAUUUCCACGUAGACACCUAGGAAGAGCCCGCAUGCCCUAGACUCACUCCAGAGGAAGGAUUGAUUUGCAACCAGAAAGGGAGCUGAAAACCACGGAGCUCCAUGGCUCUUCAUUCAAAAGGGAAAAUAAUGAUUCCACGUUGCUUUUUAGAGUUCAAAUCAACAUCUUUCUGGAUAAAUCUAUUUUUUAACAAUCUUUUUAUUAUUUGUAAAAGAUAUAAAAACAACUCCCAUCAGUAGCAAUACAAGGUUAUACAUUUUAACCAGAUUUUCUCAGGCCUUUUUUGGAUACCUUUAGUAGUUAACUCUCUUUUGUCAAACCCUCUUGUAAAUAACCAUCGCACAACAUACAGAACCCUGGGGAAUACGGCCAAGGGCACUGCUCACUGUGGCCCGUGUAUUCAUUCCCACAGGCUGCACUGAAAUAACCUGGUAAACAACACCCUCCUCCAUUUUGCGUCUAUUUCUUCUAUUGUGCUUCUUUGGGGAUAGGAAGAGAAACAUAACUACUGUUCCAGGUAACGUCUGUAUCAUACAGUUAGUGUUGCCAGUGAAACGUUCCCAGAUACAAAGAAUUGUGCUUUUAAUUCCAUUUCACAAUCUUUUUUUUUUUUUGUCAUUGUCUGACCAAAAUUCCUUCUGCACACGAGGCCAGUAUAGGCAACGUCACAUUUGUUUGUUUCAAAUAUGCAGUGUGGCAUUUUGUUUACUUUGCAUUUACCGUGAGCAAAGAUACUUCUUGGAAUGGCUGCAGUGAGGCCGUGUCAUUGGCUCACAAAGGUGACUCAUAGGUAAUUUCUGUGUUUGCAUUCCACUGCUCUGCUCCCUAAGGUCCUUGACUUUCUCCCCAGGAAUUCACUUAAAAAGGGACUGAGCAUUGUCAACCUGUUGCAGUGUUUUUCAUAUAUGUGUUCACUCUAAAAAUGCAAAUAAAGACUGCUUCCUUAGAGGGUGCUCAUACAAAA